rnacentral:lncRNA from 10 species
GCCGCUGAGCGCAUCGGAGGGCGGGCGCGCCGAGGCGCCGGGUGGGAGCGGAGAAAUACAAACACUUGGCCUGGCGCGGUGGCUCACACCUGUAAUCCCAGCACUCUGGGAGGCCGAGGCGGAUGGAUCACCUGAGGUCAGGAGUUCAAGACCAGCGUGGCCAACAUGGUGAAACCCCAUCGCUACUAAAAAUACGAAAAAAUUAGCUGGGCGUGGUGGUGGGCAUCUGUGAUCUCAGCUACGCAGGAUGCUGAGGCAGGAGAAUCGCUUGAACCCAGGAGGCGGAGGUUACAGUGACCAAAGAGGGCACCACUGCACUCCAGCCUGGGCAACAAGAGCGAAACUUUAUCUAAAAAAAAUAAAAAUAAAAAAAUACAAUCACUUUUCUCUGAUUGGAAUCAAGGUCCCAGAAUACAAUCUUAAGAACAAGUUUUGGCCAGUGUGGUGGCUCACGCCUGUAAUCCCAGCACUUUGGGAGGCAGUGGCCGGUGGAUCACCUGAGGUCAGGAGUUCGAGACCAGCCUGGCCAAUUUUUAGUAGAGCCCAUCUCUACUAAAAAUACAAAAAUUAGCUGGGUGUGGUGAUGCGCACCUGUAGUCCCAGCUACUUGGGAGGCUGAGGCAGGAGAAUGGUGUGAACCUGGGAGGCGGUGCUUGCAGUGAGCGGAGAUCACACCACUGCACUCCAGCCUGGGCGACAGAGCGAGACUCCGUCUCAAAAAAAAAAUAGUAAGUUUCAGGUCGAUGGAAGUUGAAUAAGAAGGCCUAGGCUGGAUACAGUGGCCUACACCUAUAAUCCCAGCACUUUGGAAGGCCAAGGCAGGCAGAUCCUUUGAACCAAGGAGUAGGAGACCAGCCUGGGCAACAUAGUGAGACCCUCCUCUCCAUAAAAAAUUUUUCAAAAUUAAAAAAAAAGAAGGCCUGAAGCUGACAUAGCUGAGAAAGUUUGUUUUAACUCACUACCAUUGAAUAAAAACUUAAUAGUUUUAUCAAGAUAUAAUUUACAUACUAUGAAAUUCACCUAUUUUGUGUACAAUUUAAUGAUUCUCAGUAAAUUUACACAGUAAAUUUGCACAACCAUUGCCACUAAUUUCAGAACAUUUCCAUUACCCCAAAAAGAUCCUUCACGAUGGUGGGCAGUUUGGUUCCCAUCCUUAGCCCCAGGCAACCACUCAUCUACAUUUUCUCUCUAUGGAUUUGUCCAGAUUUUUCACAUAAGUAGAAUCUUACAGCAUGCAGCCUUUUGUGUCUGCCUUCUUUCAUUUGUCAUAAUGUUUUUGAGGUUUAUCUAAGGUUGUGGCAUGUAGCAGUAUUUCAUUCCUUAUUAUUGCUAUGUCAUAUUCCAUGUAUGGACAUACCACAUUUUGUGUCUACUUUCCAAUUGUGGAUGUUUAGAUUGUGUCAACUUUUUGAGUAUUAUGAAAAUGCUGCUGGGGCUGAGAUUGGUGGCUCACUCCUGUAAUCCCAACACUUUAGGAUACCGAGAUGG